rnacentral:rRNA from 1 species
UACGUAGGGUGCGAGCGUUAAUCGGAAUUACUGGGCGUAAAGCGUGCGCAGGCGGUUCGCCAAGUCAGGUGUGAAAUCCCCGGGCUUAACCUGGGAAUGGCAUUUGGGACUGCAAGGCUGGAGUGCGGCAGAGGAGACUGGAAUUCCUGGUGUAGCAGUGAAAUGCGUAGAUAUCAGGAGGAAUACCGAUGGCGAAGGCAGGUCUCUGGGCUGACACUGACGCUCAUGCACGAAAGCGUGGGGAGCAAACAGG